GACGAACGCUGGCGGCGUGCUUAACACAUGCAAGUCGAACGGAAAGGCCCUGCUUGCCGGGUACUCGAGUGGCGAACGGGUGAGUAACACGUGGGUGAUCUGCCCUGCACUUCGGGAUAAGCUUGGGAAACUGGGUCUAAUACCGGAUAGGAGCCAUCUUUAGUGUGGUGGUUGGAAAGUUUUUUCGGUGUAGGAUGAGCUCGCGGCCUAUCAGCUUGUUGGUGGGGUAAUGGCCUACCAAGGCGGCGACGGGUAGCCGGCCUGAGAGGGUGUACGGCCACAUUGGGACUGAGAUACGGCCCAGACUCCUACGGGAGGCAGCAGUGGGGAAUAUUGCACAAUGGGCGCAAGCCUGAUGCAGCGACGCCGCGUGGGGGAUGAAGGCCUUCGGGUUGUAAACUCCUUUCGCUAGGGACGAAGCGUUUUUGUGACGGUACCUAGAGAAGAAGCACCGGCUAACUACGUG
rnacentral:rRNA from 1 species